rnacentral:rRNA from 1 species
CAGUCGCCGCGGUAAUACGUAGGUCCCGAGCGUUGUCCGGAUUUAUUGGGCGUAAAGCGAGCGCAGGCGGUUAGAUAAGUCUGAAGUUAAAGGCUGUGGCUUAACCAUAGUACGCUUUGGAAACUGUUUAACUUGAGUGCAAGAGGGGAGAGUGGAAUUCCAUGUGUAGCGGUGAAAUGCGUAGAUAUAUGGAGGAACACCGGUGGCGAAAGCGGCUCUCUGGUCUGUAACUGACGCUGAGGCUCGAAAGCGUGGGGAGCGAACAGGAUUAGAUACCCCAGUAGUCCCUGUCUCUUAUACA